AAAAGAGAAGACCGAGAGGGGACAUAGCAGCAGUUUUCAGACCAAUCCUGACUUGCUAGCAGUGCUUCAUCUUCUAGGAGUAUUUGGUGUGCAUAGAGAGUGCUGAAGAUGGGAUUACUCAGUGUUUGCAACCUAAGAGCUGUGGCCUCCUGUUGGAGUAGAAGAACAAGGCUGUCUACAAUUAUCUGAGCUGAAUGAAGGGCAAAAAGAAAACUGCAAUUAAUGGUGACUGAGAUAAUUACAUUUGUAAAAUUGCUCUACUUUUAAUAAUAUCUAAGUACCAGAUAGGGAAUUUUGUUUUAAAAUAUAUGAGCUUGUGAUCAGUCUGGUUUAAUGAACCAGUGUCUACACCACGAAAAAUACCACAUCACAACUACCCCCUUGUGAGCAGUCUUAGCUCAAAGGCCAAGAACUGCAUGGGCCAAGGGAGAACUCUGCCCCCACACUCAAAGGUGAAAUUUCCUGAGCAGAGCAGUAACUCAUGGACUAGAAGUUUACCUUGUUGCAGCCUGUGCUGCAUCUGCUCUAUGGGCAAUAAGAGGCAUUUAGAUCUCACAAAUUUCAUGUGACACCAUUCACAUGGAACAACAUUGGAGCCAUGCAAAGGGUUCAGUUCUCAAAACUGAGGGACUUCAGAAAACAGGAGCAUCGCACAUAGGAACAUAAAAACGGCCAAACUAGGUCAGACCAAAAGUCCAUCUAGCCCAGUGACCUAUCUUCCAACAGCGGCCAAUGCCAUGGGCCCCAGAGGGAAUGAACAGAACAGGGAAUCACCAAGAGAUCCAUCCCCAUCGCCCAUUCCUAGCUUCUGGCACACAGAAGCUAGGGACACCAUCCCUGCCCAUCCUGGCUAAUAGCCAUUGAUGGGACCUAUCCUCCAUGAAUUAGUAAAUAUAUAUCUUACCUGAAAAGGGUAGUUGUACCAGCAUUGUCGCGUGUCCCAAAACCACGGUGACUAGAGUGAAAAGAAGAGAUUAUCCUACUAGCAUUUUUCUCCCUAUAUGCUCUGGUUUUCGCCAAUUAAAUCACUCCAUCCCUACCACAAUACUAUUUCAAAGGUCUUCACUUUGCUUCUUUGGUUCAAGCUACAUUUAUUCUGGGGUUUCACAGAGAUGAAAGCCAUUUUUUUGCAUGCAACCACAUGCCAUUGUGCACAUAAAAAUUUAAAGUGGAAAUGUAGAGCUUUGCAGAGCUCUGUGCAAAGAUCCAUCUCUCUGGACUGUCUAUGUCCUUGCAAGUGAGAAAACAGAGUCUGCUUAAGAGUGGACAGGCCCAUCCUGUUUUGGCAUCAGAGAAGAGAGUCUUCCAGCAUUUCUGACAGCCUUUCCUGUUUUGUGAAGACAUGACUCUAAAUUAAAAUACACAAGGGUCCUGACUAGGAAGCAUAAGGAAGAUCUAAGGCCACUGAACUCUUGCUAUUUUAGUCCCAUAUUAUGUCACUCAGAGCAAGCAGUGAAAGAAAAAACACAAACUCAACUCACCGACCAGAUAAAUUUGAGUCCAUAAGAAAAUAUACUUAAAUAAAACGUAAACCUCCACCUGGGAAUGGAAAUGAGAAAGGGAAAAAAUUAAAUGUUUGAAAUUAAAUGAACACUGUAUGGUUAAUGUUUGUGUAGCAAAAGCUGGAAUAGUUAUAAAUGGAGCUGAAUUUGGCAGAAAAAGUGGAGUUUUCACCCACUAAUGUGUAAUUCUCCAUACAUGGCAAAUUGUCUAAUAUUGCCCUUUGGAAUAUCUGUCCAUCAAAAUAAAAAUAUUUAUAUAAGAAUCAUACAAACAGCAUAGCUCCAGAAAAAACUCUACAGAUUGUCUUGGAAAUACAUACCAAGGUUAAAGCAUAUGUACAUACUGAGAUGUACAACUUGGCAAAGGCAACAACUCUGAAGAAACCAUUGUGAUCUAGUGCAACAUAUAUGACAAUACCCUGGACAAACCUUAUGGAAUUAGAGAUUAACAUAAUUGAAUUAAGUUCAAUACUUUGGGGUCCACUGUAUUUAAAGUGAAAUUAUGUGUGUGUUAUUGUGGAAUUGUAUGCAACUUCUAUAGGGGACUGACUAAUCCUAACCCUUCCCGGAGACUGUAACUUCAAACACCUCCUGGGACAAUGUGUGUGAAGUGGAAUUGUACAGACUCAGCCUUUGAGGCUUUGCCCUGAGGGAAAGAACCUUCUGGUCUGAUGAUCCCUUGUUAUAGGAGGACAGGUCAAAGACCCAAUCUGGAUUCUCCAGGGACCAACAGACAAAACACAGAUUUUUCAAUAAAGAGCCUGAAUUGAACCUCACUCAGGGCCUUCCUUGUGAUCCAAAACCUGGACAGGACCUCUGGGACCUAGGAAAGGGUUGGAAGGACUUGGCCUACUGAGGCCCCAUAAGACUGAGUGCUAGUUCUGCGCUAAAGCGGUUAUGAACUUAGGACCACAAAAGAGAGCCUUUUGGGGUCUGAAGGAUUCACCUGCCAGACGCCAUGUUAGAGCCAGUUGGGGUGAUCUCUGGUAAGCUUAUUAGCAUGACUGUAGGUACUUUUAUUGAUUUUAAUGUUUUCUCUGUAGUGCUUUUACCCUAAGAAUUAAAUAGAC